rnacentral:snRNA from 1 species
GGAACGGAGCAAUCCGGUC